UGAAGUCUGUCUUUACCCCCUCAUCUUCUUACCAUCUCUUUCCCUAUUACACUACAUACAAUAAACAAAUACAGACUUAAAAUCUGUCUCGCAUCCCUCUCGAUUAUACCUACAAGAAACACAUACACACACACAAAAUCCAUGCUCUCAUUCUCUUCAAACCCUAACCAACCACCAACCAGCCACACCCCAUUUCAUAUCCCUCCCGUUAAUUAAAUCGGUGAGCCACAGGGGAGGAGCCAGCGGCGGCCGGCGGUUCAUUUCCGUCGGGUGAGACCCCCCUCUCUUCUUCGUGUAUCAGACAACCCCCCCUAUCUCUUGCUUUCGGUUCGGUCGCCGGAGAAACCACGACGGACCGCCAGUCAUAUCGUUUAUCCGACGGUUCCGUCGAUAAACCUCACCCACAACCAACGACAGCGCCGUCGUGAACGGCGUCGGAGGUGGAGGGUUCCGCCGAUGAAAGAUGGAGACAAUGACAAAGAUGAUCGACGACGGUACGACGACGGAGGUGGUGCUCUCCGACGAACGGCACAAGUCAGCAGUGGUUCAGCAAAUUCAAGUUCAGGCUCAGGUUUGGUUUCGGCUUUGUUUUGGUUCGGUCAACAAAAGUCAACAGUGUUCCGGUGCGGUGUUCGGAUCUCGGGUUACGGGCCAGAUUAGGAAGCGGUGCGUUCGACUCGAUCCAACCGAGUUAACUCAGUUGACUCGGUCAACUCAGCGAGUCGACUCGGUCAACUCAACAGGUCAACUCAGUUGACCUGGUCAACUCAGUCAACACGUUCGGCGUCACGGCACGAAGACUCGGUUAAGAAUUUAGGACACGACACAUUAAUUUCGUUAACUAUUCCUUAUUUUAAUAUUAUGUGAUAUCGAGCUCGAACCGACAUGAUUAUAAUUUACGUUUUUAUGAAAUAUUGGCGAAUUUGAUAU